UGAACCGGCGUUCGUAACGCCGCCGCCGCCACCAGAGGUGUCCGUGUCGGUGUCGGGACGUUUCUUUUACCGACGCCGUCUGCCAUUGGUCGGCUCGCCGUACACUCGGCCGACCAAUCAGCUAUACGACUAGGCGUGGCUGGGCGGUCGCGAUCAGCACAACACUUUGCGCGCGGUCGAGUGUGCGCCAGUUCAACGAUUGUAGUUCUCCCCUCCGCACGUCACGCGUUUACGUGUAGUGCGUACCGAAUACAUAAACGAUGACAAAGGGUUCCCAAAACGCGUUUCUCGCCGCCGCCGCUCGCUCUUCGGUUUCUCUGCACGCUGCAGCUAUACAAUGUUAUGCUUAUAUGCACAAAUCGCACGUGCCACGUAUAUAAGUAACACGCCGCGGAAUAGUCUGCAGUUAUUAUCGAGAUACCCACCAGUCAUCACUGCAGUUCAAUGAAAUAUUUCGGAGACAGUGUUACAAACUUACAACAUCAGCCCUGUUCUUAUCAUGUAUAGUACCAAUGUCUACAUAUUGCGCCGCGGCAGUAAUGCAAAAGCAAUUCCCGCGGCAUUGUCGGUUCAAACAGGAAGAAAAGUAUACUUAUGUCUACUAUCGUUUCGAUUUGAUUAGCGGUUGUUUAAAUAAAUAAGAACAAUUAGGUAAUAAAUUUUCAUUGAUAUAAUGAUAUGUAUUUAACUGUUUUAUUAAUUUUUUGGAAAUUGCGUACUUAUAAUUGAGCAG